CAGUAGCCGCGGUAAUACGUAGGGUGCGAGCGUUAAUCGGAAUUACUGGGCGUAAAGCGUGCGUAGGCGGUUGUGUAAGACAGAUGUGAAAUCCCCGGGCUUAACCUGGGAACUGCGCUUGUGACUGCACAGCUAGAGUAUGGCAGAGGGGGGUGGAAUUCCACGUGUAGCAGUGAAAUGCGUAGAGAUGUGGAGGAACACCGAUGGCGAAGGCAGCCCCCUGGGCCAAUACUGACGCUCAUGCACGGAAGCGUGGGGAGCAAACAGGAUUAGAUACCCCGGUAGUCCCUGUCUCUUAUAC
rnacentral:rRNA from 1 species